UUUCCGAGGCGGGGGUUUGGCUGCAGGAUCGCGGUAUCACCCGAUAUUCUAGUGUCAAAGCAAGGCUGCUCUAGACUGUAAUUGGUCGACAUCGGUAGUACUCAUCAAACCAUCCAAGCCAGCUGGGCUCCACUUGGGGCUGGGUGUGGAGCUUGUCGCUGGCUUGCACCCUGCCAAGUCCUAUCACUAGGGCUUGUCUAGCAAGCUCGGGUAGGCCGUCGUCCAGGGAGCACUGAACGGGCGGGAAAGCUCAAUAGCUCCUGGGACGAAGGGCAUGCAUGGGUGACAAAAAUAACAUCUAGCCAAGCUCAUCCCCAGAUUUUCAUUCUCCCCGAUCGGACAACGCGGCACGAGGGCAUGCGAAUUGACUUUUUUUCGUGUUUUUUCUUUUUCUUCGAUACAAAAGUGCAAACGGGGA
rnacentral:sRNA from 1 species